UACGAAGGGGGCUAGCGUUGUUCGGAAUCACUGGGCGUAAAGCGCACGUAGGCGGACAUUUUAAGUCAGGGGUGAAAUCCCAGGGCUCAACCCUGGAACUGCCUUUGAUACUGAGUGUCUCGAGUCCGGGAGAGGUGAGUGGAACUCCGAGUGUAGAGGUGAAAUUCGUAGAUAUUCGGAAGAACACCAGGUGGCGAAGGCGGCUCACUGGUCCGGUACUGACGCUGAGGUGCGAAAGCGUGGGGAGCAAACAGG
rnacentral:rRNA from 1 species